GCCCUGGAAGAGAGGGAAGAAAGCCUGUGAGCUACUAGCCCAGGUUAAGUAAAGGCAUGAAAUUCCCUCUCACUGAACUGAAACGAGCCUCAACCAGACCUGACAGCAACUUCCCCGGUGCCGCCUGAGAUCUUGAUUGAGACAGAGAUACCCCGAGCGUGCAGCAUUCGCGGUGCUCCGAGACCCUCAUGAGCUUGGGUCCUCCAUGGCGGUCUCGCCACUAUACUGUGAGUUCUAGAAGGAGGCAAACUGAGUCUUAUCCCAUCAUCUCUCAGUUCUUACAUGCAGUAGACAUUUACGAGAUGUUGACUGAACUGGCCUUUUAGAAAAGCUUCUGAGCUAUGUUUUAAAGCAGCUGUUCGACCAGGAUUGUUUGGAUUCCAGCCAGGUGAGAAGCCAGGAUGAAGGGCAGGGUUAUUACUGACUGAGCGGCUUCUCCCUCCUGGCUCCUCUGGUUCGGUUUCCACAACUGAAGUCACGGAGCAAACAGCACAUCACUCCUCAGACUUUGCUCCGGCCCGGCCACAUGGGAAGUCCCCAGUGCUUGCCGCACCUUUUCAUCCCAGGAGCCAUGUGUGUCAAAUGCUCUUGGGGGACCAAAGGCUCAGGAGCUGCUGGCUGCUGCCUGGUCACAGACUGCUGUGUCACUUCAGGGCCACAGCCCAUGUGGCUGUGGGCAGAGGGCAUUCAAGAUAGUUCCUCAAAUAUUAAAUCCUAAAAACUCGCUCACAAAUGGGCAUCAUUGUUUUUGCCCAAACCAGAGGUAAAAAUGAAAAAGCGGUAGGCUUGGGAUGUCCCCAGCCACCCUCACAAAAGCAGCCAUAGGCUUCGAGCUCAGCUCCCUGGGAGUAGUGCGGAUGGAGAGCUCCCCACCCUUUCAAAGCAGCCAGAUCUUAUCUUUUCUAGAGGAAGCUUCAGGGUAUGUGAAGGCAGACCCGACUUCAGGAUUCAGAGCCAGAGCCUGUGAACACCAGCGUGAGUGCACCCAGGGGGUUUGAGAGAUGGCAUGAGCCCUGGAGAUGCUGGCCUUAGAGGCUGACGUCGGUCACCAAACACCCAGAGCCGCCUGUAGCAGCCAUAGAGAGCUGGCACCUAUGGAGUCUCCAGCCCUUCUUGGGCCUUUUAUUUAGCGCCUGCAUCGCCUCUCGAAGUGGCAGACUCCACAAGCACCGGCGUCAGGAAGUACCGCCUUGCACACAUCAAAGCUGCCCUCUUAUGUUUCAUAGGAAAAGACAGAAUUCAAGGGACACCUUCUCAGCCACAUAUUGUGGGAUUUGCACAACUAAUUCUAGUGCUACCUAUACCUUUCAUUAAAAAAUGUUCACAGGCGGGACUCUUUACUAAAAAAUUCACAGGCCCAACUAGCCUCUUGAGAAAUAAAGACAUGCUCACUGCCCUCUUAGAGCAGCCUCAGGCAUAACUGCGGCCACACAGAUAGCCACGACAAUCCUAUGUAAGUGGCUGUUUAAAAAAAUAUUUGAGAUCAUCUUCUAGAAUUUACUUAUUUUGUGUGGAAAUAGGGGUCUUGCUAGGUUGCCCAGGCUGGCCUUUAGCACUUGGGCUGAAGUGAUCCUUAUGCCUCGAGCCUCCCAAGCAGCUAGGACUACAGGUGUGUGUCACCAAACCUGGCCACUUUAAAAAUUUUUAACCUGCACUGACUCAGGAGAAAAGUUUCGAAAGCGCAAAGAUCUGUUAUAUCCCAGGUGACAAAUGCAAGUAGCACUUCAAACUUUAGGGUACUUGUAAUUAAAAUCAGGCGAUCUUUUUUUUUUUUUUUUUUUUUUUUGAGAUGGAGUUUCACUUUUGUUGCCCAGGCUGGAGUGCAAUGGUACGAUCUUGGCUCACUGCAACCUCUGCCUCCCGGGUUCAAGUGAUUCUCCUGCCUCAGCCUCCCAAGUGGCUGGGAUUACAGGCACGUGCCACUACGCCCAGCUAAUUUUCUAUUUUUAGUAGAGAUGGGGUUUCUCCAUGUUGGUCAGGCUGGUCUCAAACUCCUAACCUCAGGAGAUCACCUGCCUUGGCCUCCCAAAGUGCUGGGGUUACAGGUGUGAGCCCCCACACCCGGCUCAUCUUUUAGGAAUAAUGUUUGCUUAAAACAAAAAACUAUAAAUCAGAACUAGGUUUUCUCUCUUUCUCAAGAAACUCACAGUCUAACUAGGUUAUGUUUUACGUACAGAGCCCUCUAAAGAGGGGCAUUUACUGAAGUACAAUUUAGAGGCCUAAAAACACUGCUGACUUACUCAUCUUUCAUGACCUCAGGAAUUAAAGGACACCACUUAAUUGAAGAAACCGCUAUGGUUGAUUUUUGUUCUAAAGGGAACGAAAUUUAAAAAGGAUCUGAUGAGUUAGAAUAAAACUUACAGCUUCUCUCAGAAUUUACACUUCCAAAAAGGUAGAGCAUGACAUUUAAAUAUGCUCUAAUGCUGUGAGAGGGACUGGCUGCUAAGUGCCUGUGUGAAAAUCAUGUGACUAUUUACAAAACUUUAGUAGGAUAAAUACAAAAAUUAGUAGGGCAUGGUGGCACACCCCUGUAAUCUUAGCUACUCAGGAAGCUGAGGCAGGAUAAUUGCUUGAACCAGGGAGGCAGAGGUUGCAAAAGAAAAAAACAACUUGAGCAGACUGGGUGUGGCGGCUCAAGCCGACUGUCCCAGCACUUUGGAAGGCUGAGGCAGGAGGGUUGCUUGAGGCCAGGAGUUCUAAAUUAGCCUGUUCAACAUAGCAAGACCUCAUCUCUACAAAAAAAUGUAAACAAUUAGCCAGGUGUGGCGCUGCACCCCUGCCAUCCCAGCUACUUAGGAGGUUGAGAUAGGGGAAUCACUUGAGCUUAGGAGGCCAUGGCUGCAGUGAGCUAUGAUUGUGCCACUGCACUCCAGCCUGGGUGACCAAACAGAAACCACAAAAACCCACUUUAGUUGUCAUGUAAGGUUAAAUGCCACACACACACACACACACACACACACACACACAUAUACACACACACAUACAUACAUACACAUAUAUAUUUUUGAGACAGAGUUUCCCUCCAUCUCAGCUCACCAUAACUUCUGCCUGCCAGGUUCAGGUGGUUCUCCUGCCUCAGCCUCCCAAGUAGCUGGGAUUACAGGCAUGUGCCACCACAGCCAGCUAAUUUUGUUUUAGCCAGGUGUAGAGAUGGGCUUUCUCCAUGUUGGCCAGGCUGGUCUCAAACUCCUGACCUCAGGUGAUCCACCUGCCUCGGCCUCCCAAAGUGUGGGGAUUAUGGGCACGAGUCACUGCGCCAGGCCCUCAUUUUGCUAGUUCUAAGGAAAAUGCACAACUGUGAAAUAAGAUGACAAGUAAACUUGGCUCAGUAACUGUCCCUGGAGGGAAAUGCCUGCAAACAGUGAGCAGGCCUGAGUGGAAGGCAAGAAAACACGACCAGAACACUCCACCAGCAUCCUGUAAUAAGACAGUACAUGCAGCAGGAUUCUGUGACCCCACACACACACCAUGCAGAUGUAACUUGAUUAGGGGUGUCCUGUGAGUGGCUUUACAAUGCUGUUUCCAUGAUUCUACCCUAUGAUACACAGGGACAGGCCCGGUGGGGAGCAGACAGAGGCAUCACAUACACCACAGGAGUGCUACUGGAUGCUUUACCCAAUAGGAAAGAACUGGGUAGAAUAGGAAUCCUUCAAUUUAAAAUCAAACUCAUGCCCAUGAGACUGGCAGAAUCAAGAAAUGUGUGGAAUACGGAGGAGGAAGGCAUGUUUCCCUUUCACCACCUCAUCUUUGCAUCAAAGGAAAAGUAAUUUAAAAGUCUACGGAUAAGAGACGGAGACAGGAGGAGGAGCAAGGAUCCAGACAAGAUGGUGGCGGCAGGAUGAUGGGAAUGACGCCGCACCUGGACACUAACAGACACCAGGGAAGGAGAAGCCGGCGCCGGCACUGCCUGGGGGUGGGCGCUGCUGGGUAUUUCUUUGAGACAGAGUCUUGCUUUAUCGCCCAGGCUGGAGUGUAGUGGCAUGAUCUCAGCUCACUGCAACCUCUGCCUCCUGGUUCAACUGAUUCUCCUGCCUCAGCCUCCCGAGUAGGAAACCUGACUUUCCUGUUAGCCCGCACAUUCCGCGAUGGACGGACCCAGGUUUCCUGUUAGCCUGCACAUUCUACAGUGGACCUGAGCAUGCCGUUCGCCCGCAUAUUCUGUGAAGGGUUGUAUUUCUACAGCUGUUGUCUAAGCUCCCCGAAUUCACUUUACAAGCUUGCUUCUUCUAAGAAGACCCUCGGAAGAAACCUCUUUGCAUUUUCUCCUGGCCUCAUGUGGUAGCUGGUGUGAUGCACCAGCCAGGUCACCAGCCAGGAGGAAGGACCUCGUUCCUGUCUGCUGCAGGCGCAGCUAAAGGUGGCCCUCAGUGGUCAGUGGGACUGUCUUGGCUGAAAGAAACUGAUUCAUCAAGGUUAUGCCUCCUUCCUGGGGCAGCCCGCACCUGAGGCUCUUCACCAUGAGUGAGGGCGCUGUCCUCGCCCCAGCGUGGUGACUGAAGGCUCUCCCAGCCCCAGAGCUCACUGGGGAGCAGCCAAGGCUUGCGCUGGGCCCACACAGCCCAGCUGCUGCCUGGAACCAAAUCUGCAGCAACCUAUUCUCUCUGAAUGGACCAGUCACGAGAGUGGAAGCUCCAGUCUUACAUCCUUAACCCCUGGAGUAAUGCUUCAAUAUUUAAGCCAAUGUAUAAAUCACACACAACAUUUUAUACAUACACCAAAGAGACAGAAGGUUAAAUACAGAACAGUUAGCUCUGCUCCUUUGUGGGCACGUCUGCAGGGGUCAUGCAGCCCUCGCUGUCUCUGGUGUAUGUGCAUUUGAGCUAGCACACGGGAUUGUUAAGUUGGUUAAUAUGAGGAAUAGACCCAGUAUAAUUAGAAUGGAGAUACAAAAGCAACUUUCUCACCCCAGAUUCCAAACAUGUGACACCCUUAGUAUCAUGGGCUCCUCCAGGAGAAGAAGAGCAAGUGCUUCAUUGGUGCUCUACCAAGAGAGGCCACAGCUCAGAGGCUGUUCCGAGUUCUGCCUCAAGGUCAGCAGGAAAAUGAAUGUGAAAGGCAAGAAAACCCUUCAAAGACCCUGACUCUGAAUUGGCUUUUUGUGCUCACUCAAUACCAAGAUCGCCUGCUGAGCACUUUCGAUUUGAUCCAGCACCACGGGUGCGAGGGAGUGUUUCAGACUCUCCUAGAGCAGGUGGCCAUGCUGAGUUUUGGAAAAACCCUUCCAGAGCAGGGCUGUGUCCUAACUAUGCCUGGGAGCACAUACUCCAAAAUUACUGGACUAUUCAUCUGUAUGUGUUUCUGCAUCUGCCUUAAAAAUAUGUGUUCAAAUACAUUCCUUAUAUUAUUUUUAAAAAUUAGAAAGUUUCAAACUUGAUUCUUCAGUAUGUUUAGACUCUCAGACAUUCAGAGGGCAAUUUGUUACAUAAUUUUCUUUUGGUGAAUCAAUUUUUUUUUUUUUUUUUUUUUUUGAGAGUCUCGAUCUGUCACCCAGGCUGGAGUGCGAUGGCACCAUCUCGGCUCACUGCAACCUCUGCCUCCCUGGUUCAAGCGAUUCUUUUGUCUCAGCCUCCCAAGUAGCCAGGAUUACAGGUGGCCAGGGCAUGGAUUACCAUGCCCUGCUAAUUUUUGUAUUUUUAUUAGAGAUGGGGUUUUACUAUGUUGGCCAGGCUGGUCUUGAACUCCUGACCUCGUGAUCCACACGCCCUGGCCUCCCAAAAUGUUGGGAUUACAGGCGUGAGCCACCGUGCCCAGCCAAUCAAAUAAUAUUUAUCACAUAUUACUAUAAUGGUCUAAAAAAAGAAAAUAUGCAAGUGGGGGUCUAGAAAAUUCCAUCAUUACCAGUAACUACCCCAUGCCAUGUAUACCUAUCUUCAGCAUAACAGGCUAAUUUUAUGGCUUAGUAUAUCUGAGGGAAGCUGGUGCUCCCACUGGAAGGAGAGGACCUGAGAGGUGCCCCCGAUAGUUCCUAUUAAGGCCCGGGGGGCCAAUUCUCUCCAGUGUUCCUCUAGGAGUGAGUGUCAUGGUCUGCCCGCUCCUGAAAGAUGAAUGUCCUCACUGGGGAAGGUACAAGAUCCUCUUAACUGUGCGAACUCUUUCUGUAAAGUUCCCAAAGCUAUGUAAGGGUCUGGACGCUGAGAGAGGAGGACAGAAAAGCAUCUGUACUUGCAUAGAGUGAGACCCGAGACGGAGCCGUGUUUAUCCCAUGGGCUCCUCAGCCCUGCUCCUGUCUGGGAUAGUUUCUGCCUCGGGCCUGAUCCUGCCUGGGCCUAAGCAGCCAUGAGUUAUUGGCCACAGCAAGGGAUGUGCUCCAUGGCUAUGGGUAGUGCUCUAUAUUUGUGCAAAAUUUAAGAUUAUUAAAAAUAGCCAUUUCACAAAGAAGUAUGCCAAAACACCAAGCUAGUUGACCCAAAAAGAUCUGGUAAGAUACUCCUUUAAGGGACAGGGACUGAGGCAAAAUCCACCAACCCAGGCACAGGAGAGCAUGAAAGAAAAACCAUCACUCACCAAAGUGAAGCUUCUGGACCGAGAGCUGCUGCUUCGACUCUCCAAGCUGCCGCCUCUGCUGAAGGCCCGGGGCCUGCAGUUGGGGGACGUGUCCGAGUUCAUGUCCGAUGAGUCUGAUUUCUGGUGGGUUACAGGCAUCCCCACAGAGUCCUCAGGGCCCAGCUCGAUCACAGGAAGCAAGGCAGGAGCCAGCAGCCCAUUCUGCGGCAACAGCUCACUUCUAGAGACACGAAUGACAAAAGUCAGUGAGCCUAGACAGUCAGCCUAGAUAGUCAAAUGCUCGAAUCCCUCAAAAGCACAGCUGAGAUCCACCUCCACUCUCAGACGUGAGCAUUAGGAUACAGGGGUCUGGGGAACGCUAAGUCAGCUGGUUUGAGGACGCCGAUUGCCACUUCUCCUUUACACUGUUAACCAUUCUGAAGACAUAAGAAUAAUUAGGCUGGGUGUGGUGGCUCAUGCCUGUAAUCCCAGCACUUUGGGAGGCAGAGGCAGGUGGAUGACCUGAGGUCAGGAGUUCAACACCAGUCUGACCAACAUGGUGAAACCCCGUCUCAAAAAGAAAAUAAUAAUAAUUAAAAUUUUUUCGGAGAUGGAGUCUUGCUACGUUGUCCAGGCUGGCACUAUACUCUUGGGCUCCAGCGAUCCCCCUGCCCCGGCCUCCUGAGUAGCUGGGAUUACAGGCACAAAUCACCAUGGCCAGCUGGAAUGAUCUCAAGGGAAGAUGGGAAAAUUCAAGAUUACUCUGGUGCUGGAAUCCUGACAGAGUAAUGUGACAUCUGCACUGAGGGUCUGCACUUCCAAGCUCUUCCACAGUCAGGCUCGCCUGUCUUUUCUGCCUCAGACACCACAAACUGUGGUUCCUUCUCUAGCUCCAUUACAGUUCAGACUUGAGGGGAGGUGACAAGAACUAACACGUUACCACUGGGAGCUUGGCUGACAUCUCCAAAACCGGAGACUGUGGAAGCCUCAUGCUACUGCAGGUUGUUCAUAAAAAGUAAAGCGCCCCAAGCUACUACUACGAGGAAGUUCCUGUUUUUACUUCUAGGAGCAAAGACACUGAAACGGUCCCCUGUAAGCCCCUUAAUGUCAUAUGGUCCUCUGACCGCCCCCUACCCCACUUUUUUGCGGAGACAAGGUCUCACUUUGUCACCCAGGCUGGAGUGCAGUGGCAGAAUCACAGCUCACUGCAGCCUGACUUCAUGGACUCAAGCAGUCCUCCCACCUCAGCCUCCUGAGUAGCUGGGACUACAGGCGUGCACUGCCACACCCAGCUUAUUGUUUGUAGAGCCAGGGUUUUGUCAUGUUUCCCAGGCUGGUCUUGACCUCCUGAGCUCAAGUGAUCUGCCUGCCUUAGCCUCCCCAAAGUGCUGGGAUUAUAGGCGUGAGCCACCGUGCCUGGGCCUCUGACCCUUUUAGCAGGAAAUCUAGCCCAGCCCCUGAACAGUGUGUUAGAGAGUUCAACAAAACCUUCUAGAAGACCAAAGAAGACUCAUAGGAAUAAGCCUCUUGCUGAUUAACAGAUACAUGACCCUUUGUGGAGAAAGGCCAAUCAGCAUUGAACACCUUUAGGGGAACCCUGUCACUCAAGACUUCAAGCAUUACCAUGAAAACCUCCGCUGAGAAACCUAACAAACAUCUCUGUCGAACAGAUUAAAAAAGAGACACAUUUCUGC